rnacentral:rRNA from 1 species
GUGAAAUUGUUGAAAGGGAAGCAUUCAUGACCAGACUUGGGCUUGGUUGAACAUCCGGCGUUCUCGCCGGUGCACUCUGCCAGUCCAGGCCAGCAUCAGUUUGCCCCGGGGGAUAAAGGCGGCGGGAAUGUGGCUCCCUUCGGGGAGUGUUAUAGCCCGUCGUGUAAUGCCCUGGGGCGGACUGAGGAACGCGCUUCGGCACGGAUGCUGGCGUAAUGGUCAUCAAUGACCCGUCUUGAAACACGGACCAAGGAGUCGUCUUCGUAUGCGAGUGUUCGGGUGUCAAACCCCUACGCGUAAUGAAAGUGAACGUAGGUGAGAGCUUCGGCGCAUCACCGACCGAUCCUGAUGUUCUCGGAUGGAUUUGAGUAAGAGCAUACGGGGCCGGACCCGAAAGAAGGUGAACUAUGCCUGUAUAGGGUGAAGCCAGAGGAAACUCUGGUGGAGGCUCGCAGCGGUUCUGACGUGCAAAUCGAUCGUCAAAUAUGGGCAUGGGGGCGAAAGACUAAUCGAACCUUCUAGUAGCUGGUUUCCGCCGAAGUUUCCCUCAGGAUAGCAGUGUUGAACUCAGUUUUAUGAGGUAAAGCGAAUGAUUAGGGACCAGGGGGCGCUAUUUAGCCUUCAUCCAUUCUCAAACUUUAAAUAUGUAAGAAGCUCUUGUUACUUAAUUGAACGUGGGCAUUCGAAUGUAUCAACACUAGUGGGCCAUUUUUGGUAAGCAGAACUGGCGAUGCGGGAUGAACCGAACGCGAGGUUAAGGUGCCAGAGUAGACGCUCAUCAGACACCACAAAAGGUGUUAGUUCAUCUA